ACAGUUUGAUGUCAAAAAUAGAUGAAAUCGUUUCAUUACGUUUUUAUUCAUAUAUCCAAUAUAAUAAAUUACGUGUUUUUGGUUGACUCACCACACAUUGUCUGUGUGAGUGCAAGAUAUUUCACUAAAACAACGUGACAAUAUUUCAAUUAACAACAUGCGAUUACGAGAUCUUCUUCAGCACAGUACUACAGAACUGCCUGCCCGAAAACUUAGACGACUCUUUAGCAGUUGCUUGCGGCAAACAACGAAUUCUUUAAAUAUUAAAUUCGUUCUAGAACAGCUUGGUGGUUAUCUCCCAAUUCAGUUUCAUCUUUGAUUAAAAAAAUGUACAAAUUGGGCACAACGCUGCUUAUUGAUAUACAUAUAUUAUGGCUUAAGCUACAGCCGCCGGCCUCAAGUUUUGUUAAUAAUAGGCGGAGAGACAGUAAACGCUAUUUCGGUCCAAAAGCACCACCUUAUCAGUUCGAAAAUGGAGAAUAUAAACUAUUAAAGAAACUACUAGAUAACUUUUUACCAAACGAACUGAUCAAAAGCCUUCAGAGAAAGAUACGAUUUCCACAUUAAUCGGUGAACUAAAUCAAGUGAGAUUCC